rnacentral:rRNA from 1 species
UACGAGAACCCCAAGCGUUAUCCGGAAUCAUUGGGCGUAAAGCGUGUGUAGGCGGGUCGUUAAGUGUCUUGUGAAAUCCCACCGCUCAACGGUGGAACGGCUGGGCAUACUGGCGACCUUGAGAGACCCAGGGGCGAGCGGAACAAGCGGUGGAGCGGUGAAAUGCGUAGAUAUCUGGAGGAACACCCGUGGCGAAAGCGGCUCUCUGGGACGGUACUGACGCUGAGACGCGAAAGCGUGGGGAGCAAACAGG